CACAUAUGUGUGGACACAGGCGAAGACUACUUUGCUUCAAGGAUUCAUAGUAUUACUUCUGACAGAUACCAUUUGGGGAGCAGAAUGAGAAGCCUGGCUGUAUAUAGGAGCAUCUCUUUCCAUCUUUGCAAAUAACUGGAAAUGACUUUUCCAGGUCACACUUGCAAUAUUUCUCUGUCCUGAGUGGAAGGUGUGACCAUCUGAGAGCUAAAAUGCUGGAGAAUGGGGAGUGCCUUCCCAGAAUACUGGAGAUCCUGUUCCAUUAUACUCAUAUAAGCUAGGUUGCAGAAGCAUUUCUCACCACUGAUGCUGCUGGGCGAAAGAAAUGAACGUGAUUGAUUAUGACUUUGAUACACCUGAGGAACAGAGAAAAUUCAGUAAACAUCUCUGUGUUUCUGUCUGUCAACAGGAUAGAGGAAUGAAGGGAGUCCAUAUGUCAGCAUGCAUGACUUUUUCUGUUUGGAUGGAUGGGACGGACUUCUGAUCUGACACACCUGUUCCAGUAUCCUGGGCCCAUAAUCAAGUCUUUUUUCUGCGUAAUCAAGAGAGCGGUUAAACAGCUGAGAGUCAUAAAAGAACAGGAAGAAUUUUAAGAUGCAGAGAAAUUAAAUUUGCUCCAGUUUUCAAAGGAUUAAUCCAGCCCUCAUCUCUCCUUUGACAUCUCUUGGCUACAUCCAAAUAGUCGUCUGCCUGUUCUUCCUCCACAAAAUAUGAAGGGAUGUUACUUGGGCUACCUCAUUCCCUGCCGGUUGCUAAUGGAAAAUAGUACUGCUGUGCAGGGAGACUUGUUUUAUAGGUGUUUUUCUUCUAUCUGGUUUUACAGUUCUCUACCGCCACUGUUCAGCAUUCCCUGGAUUGCUCUGCCGUUCUCUGGCCAUCCAUAUAUGUUUUGCAAACUGAGUGACACAAAGGCCUCUAAAAAAGGAAACACCUCUCACAAAACACUUUGCACUGUUCAUUGCUAUUUCUCUUAAGACAGGAGAACGGUUGCCUCCUAUCACCCUUAAGUUCCAUUUAAAAGCUGGUCAAUCCUACUGGAUACACCAGCCUUCCACUGCUCAGUCCUGGUGCCCGCAUAAGGACAGCUUUACAAAAUGAGUACUCCCUUUUCCCCUGCUAGGGCUUGACACACACUUGUAAGAUUAACAGCUAUGGAAUCUAGUGUUGUUUUAUUUUGUCAUCAGUUUUCAGUGAUAUCAUAGUCUUUUCAUUCCAGCACCUUUCACUUCCCAGUCCUUAAACUAAUAUACUGAUCCCUAUUACUAAAUAAACCAGACUAUAUCACCACUUUUUAAGCUGAGAUGUAGUUUUUCCUCUGUCCUUCUCCUUGUACAUACACUAGACUGUGCAUAAACAGCAAAGCACAAGAACUUUACAGCAAGCAGUUCCAAGUCUAACUAGGGCCUAGAGUACUGCCUACCUGAUAGUUGUGUAUAAUUUAAAGAACACUAACUGCAGAAUUUCCAAGUACUUGAUUUAAAGAAUCUUAUAUUUUUAUUAAAGUAGUUUUGCAGACUGACCAAAUAUGUUGUACUAUGGUUGAUUUUAUUGUGUAGCUACAUGGCUCCAUGCCCAUUGACUUCAAGCAAGUACAGCACUACUGCUGGAUCACAACAGUGCUAGACUGAAAGAACCAUAAUAUGAAAUUUGCAACUACAGUUUAAUCUACUUUAAAAAUAUGAAAUCUAGUAUGGUUAAUAUACCUAUCUUAAACUAAAAACUUUACCUGGAGAAAAUAAGUAGGUAUUUUUCAGUGCUCUGAUACUGAACUUAUUUUGAAUCAAUAACUCUGAUUAUUUUGCACAAAAAACAACCAACCAAAAAAAAAAAAC
ensembl:lncRNA